CAAGUCUUUGUACAGGUUAGGUGCAAUUGUUGCCGGUGCUGCUACAGGAAUUGGUCUGCUGGCUUGGGGUUUAUCUGCACUUUCUUCAUCAGCUGGUUCAGAGUCAGAGGAAAAGAAGAAACCAAUGAAAGCUCCUGGUUCACAGUCAGAGGAAAAGAAGAAACCAAUGAAAGCUCCUGGAAAAGAUGAAAUCAUAGAGAGGGAAGAGUUUGAGCGAGAUCCUAAAGGCUAUUUCAGAGCCUUGCGCGAUAAGUAGGAACUUCUCUUGAACCGUUGAACGUAUGAUAUUAUAGCUUUACUUUUGUGAAUCUA
rnacentral:lncRNA from 1 species